AAUGGCAAGGAGGUCACACCUGUUCCCAUGCCGAACACAGAAGUUAAGCUCCUUAGCGCCGAUGGUAGUCGGGCUUACGUCCCGCUAGAGUAGGACGUUGCCAGGC
rnacentral:rRNA from 1 species